rnacentral:rRNA from 1 species
AUUGAACGCUGGCGGCAGGCCUAACACAUGCAAGUCGAGCGGUAGAGAGAAGCUUGCUUCUCUUGAGAGCGGCGGACGGGUGAGUAAUGCCUAGGAAUCUGCCUGGUAGUGGGGGAUAACGUUCGGAAACGGACGCUAAUACCGCAUACGUCCUACGGGAGAAAGCAGGGGACCUUCGGGCCUUGCGCUAUCAGAUGAGCCUAGGUCGGAUUAGCUAGUUGGUGAGGUAAUGGCUCACCAAGGCGACGAUCCGUAACUGGUCUGAGAGGAUGAUCAUGCACACUGGAACUGAGACACGGUACAGACUCCUACGGGAGGCAGCAGUGGGGAAUAUUGGACAAUGGGCGAAAGCCUGAUCCAGCCAUGCCGCGUGUGUGAAGAAGGUCUUCGGAUUGUAAAGCACUUUAAGUUGGGAGGAAGGGUUGUAGAUUAAUACUCUGCAAUUUUGACGUUACCGACAGAAUAAGCACCGGCUAACUCUGUGCCAGCAGCCGCGGUAA